UGGGGCGUCGUCUAAUGGCAGGACUCGGGCCUUUGGAGCCCGCUAUGGUGGUUCGAGUCCACCCGCCCCAG
rnacentral:tRNA from 1 species